UACGAAGGGUGCUAGCGUUGUUCGGAAUUACUGGGCGUAAAGCGCGCGUAGGCGGCCAUUCAAGUCAGAGGUGAAAGCCCGGAGCUUAACUCCGGAACUGCCUUUGAAACUGUAUGGCUUGAGUGUCGAGGGGAUAGCGGAAUUGCUAAUGUAGAGGUGAAAUUCGUAGAUAUUAGCAGGAAACACCGGUGGCGAAGGCGGCUAUCUGGACGACAACUGA
rnacentral:rRNA from 1 species